rnacentral:lncRNA from 1 species
GCUGUCUUUUACAAAAAUACACGUUAAUUAUUGUGAUUCCUGAAAGAGACUUCUCCAAGACUAAAUCCAGCUAAAAGUGGCUAGCUUAUUCAACAAACACAUAUUGAGCAUGCAUUGUAUACAAGGAUCUCUAGAGCCAACAGAAAAGAGAGUCCUAACCCUCAGGGUGCUGAGGAUGUGGCUGGGAGAACAGGGAACAUGAUGACAGUUUUGACCUGCCAGGUGCUAGUCUGACUGCUUUAUAGAGAGUCAUUCACUGAGUCCUUGUAACAAUCUAGCAGCUGGGUAGCAUUAGUAUCAUCCUUCCCAUCGUACAGAUGAAAAGACAGGUCCAGCAAGGGUAAGCAAAUUGCCCAAGGGUGCAAAGCCAUUA